rnacentral:rRNA from 1 species
UGGGGAAUAUUGGACAAUGGGCGAAAGACUGAUCCAGCCAUGCCGCGUGUGUGAAGAAGGUCUUCGGAUUGUAAAGCACUCUAAGUUGGGAGGAAGGGCAGUAAGCGAAUACCUUGCUGUUUUGACGUUACCGACAGAAUAAGCACCGGCUAACUCUGUGCCAGCAGCCGCGGUAAUACAGAGGGUGCAAGCGUUAAUCGGAAUUACUGGGCGUAAAGCGCGCGUAGGUGGUUCGUUAAGUUGAAUGUGAAAGCCCCGGGCUCAACCUGGGAACUGCAUCCAAAACUGGCGAGCUAGAGUAGGGCAGAGGGUGGUGGAAUUUCCUGUGUAACGGUGAAAUGCGUAGAUAUAGGAAGGAACACCAGUGGCGAAGGCGACCACCUGGGCUCAUACUGACACUGAGGUGCGAAAGCGUGGGGAGCAAACAGG